rfam:Arabidopsis thaliana chromosome 5, complete sequence.
GGAUGCGAUCACACCAUCACUAAUGCACCAGAUUCCAUGAGAACUUCACAGCUAACCGUGCUUGGGUGGGAUUAGUAGUAGGAUGUGUGACCUCCCGGGAAGUCCUUGUGUUGCUUCCC